rnacentral:lncRNA from 1 species
CCCAGCCAGAGCCGGUGUCUCCGCGCCUUAUAAGGGCUUCGAGUCGGCCCAGGCAUCUGGAAUGUGUCAGGGACCAGGAGGCGGUGCCCGGACCCCCGCCCGCCUCCGGGGCUGCCCGCCCUCUCCCGGAUUUCCGGGGGGUGGGGACCCCGACUCUCAGGGUUGGAGGCCUGCAUUUCUGGAUCCCUAUAAACAUGGGCUGAGAGCCCCCCCAAGAGCAUCUCUAAGACCGGAGUGGGCAGGGACCCGGGCCUCUGAGGGGCUCAGGCUCCAGGCCGGAAACUGCACGCGGUGCUGGCGUCAGGCCCGAGGCCCAGCUACGCCUCCCACGGCCUCCCUAAUCGCCAUUCGGGGCUUGCGGGAGCACCUGGGAGGCUCCACCCGGAGCCAGACACUGCCUGCCCCCACGCCCCUCCAGGACCCUCGAAGGAGAAGGAAAUCGGGACUGGCCCAGCGUCCCGUGCUCUAGAAGGCGGGCUACUGCCCCGUCCCAAGCAGGGGAGGAGGACGAGCGAGGGCGUCACUCAUUCUGUCCCCCGCGGAAGGAUGAGGAAGCUCUGUUUACCUAAAUGAAAAGCUUUCUAGGAGGAAGUCCUAAGUGAACAAUGAUGCAUGAGGAUGCAAUCUUACAGGCAAGGAGCCCAGUGAUAACAAAUGGCUGUAGAUGCUUUUCCUCCAUCAAGCUUCCAGGAGGAGAUGAGAUGGAGCCCAUCGCUGAGCCAAGGUCACCAGCCCCAUUUCACAAAUGUAAAUAGCAGGUGUCCCCCACACAGUCUGAACACUUGGAGGCCAAGAUUCAUUUCUCUCAGGGCCCACCAUCCUCAAGCAUGGGAUUGAUUUAGUGCCUCUUGCUGGGAAGCAAAGUUCUGGGAGCCAUAGUGGGAUCCUCCCUCCCUCCCUGCAGGAGACUGGGGCCCUUCCAAGCAGCAACUGAGACCAGUCAACAACCUCUGCCUUAGGCCAGGCGCGGUGGCUCACGCCUGUAAUCCCAACACUUUGGGAGGCUGAGGCGGGCAGAUCAUCUGAGGUCAGGAGUUCAAAACCAUCCUGGCCAACAUGGUGAAACCCCGUCUCUACUAAAAAUACAAAAAUUAGCUGGGCGUGGUGGUGCGUGCCUGUUGUCCUAGCUACUCCGGAGGCCAAGGCAGGAGAAUUCCUUGAACCUGGGAGACAGAGGUUGCAGGUCUGAGAUUGCACCACAGCAUCCAGCCUGGGCGACAGAGUGAGACCCUGUCUCAAAAAGAAACAAAUUAAAAAACAAAAAACAAAAAACAACCUCUGCCUGCCCUUGGGGCCUAGCAUGAGCCCCUGCACACAGGAGGCUUCUAUAAAAAUAGCUCAUUUCGGGUAAUCUAGGGCAGAACCCAGGCUUUUACCACUUGUGGUUUCUCUUUCUAAAUGUGUAGUUAAAAGCUGUAGGCCAGACCUGGUGCAUGGUGGCUCAUGCCUGGAAUCCCAACACUUUGGGAGGCUGAGGUGGGAGAAUCACUUGAGGUCAGGAAUUUGAGAUCAGCUUGGCCAAUAUAGCAAGACCCUGACUCUUUAAAAAAAAAAUUUUUUUUUUAAUUAGCCAGGCAAGGUGGUUGUGCCUAUAGUUCCAGCUACUCAGGAGGCUGAGGCAGGAGGCUCACUUGAGCCCAGGAGUGCGAGGCUGCAGUGAGCUGUGACUGCACUGCUACACUCCAGCCUGGACAAACUGAGCAAGACCCCAUCUUAAAAAAAAAAAAAAAAAAAAAAAAAAAAAAAGACUGGUUGCAGUGGCUCAUGCCUGUAAUCCCAGCACUUUGGGAGGCCGAGGUGGGCGGAUCACCUGAGGUCGGGAGUUCGAGACCAGCCUGACCAACAUGGAGAAACUCCAUCUCUACUAAAAAUACAGAAUUAGCUGGGUGUGGUGGCACAUGCCUGUAAUCCCAGCAACUCAGGAGGCUGAGGCAGGAGAAUCACUUGAACCCAGGAGGCGGAGGUUGCUGUGAGCUGAGAUCGCGCCAUUGCACCCCAGCCUGGGCAACAAGAGCAAAACUCCGUCUCAAAAAAAAAAAAAAGAAGAAGAAGAAGAAACCCAAACACACACACAAACAAAAUAACAGGUGCAGGCCAGUUAAACAAAAACAACUCAAGAACUGUGCCCUGCAGGGGCGCAUUCAUGUGCGGGUGCCCCCUAGAGGACUCUGAGGGUAGAAUGCAUUCAUCCUGAAUGGAUGCAAGAGGAUCAUUUUUCUUCAUCCAAAGUGAAUUCCCUACCGUAUGCUAUGCCCAGGGGACAUGGCCAGUGAACAAGACAUGCAAACAUUAUUGCUGCUGCUCUGUUCACACAUGCAAGAGAGAGACAAUGAGUCAGCAAACACACACAUAAGUUGUUUUUGUAUAGCAAAAUGUACCAGAACAUAAGAUAUAGGGGACUGGUGGCUGGGCGUGGUGGCUCAUGCCUGUCAUCCCAGCACUGUGGGAGGCCGAGGCAGGUGGAUCACCUGAGGUCAGGAGUUGAGACCAGCCUGGGCAACAUGGGGAAACCCCAUCUCUACUAAAAAAUACAAGUCCCAGCUACUCAGGAGGCUGAGGCAGGGGAAUUGCUUGAACCUGGGAGGCGGAGGUUGCAGUGAGCCAAGAUCGCCCCACUGCAAUCCAGCCUGGGUGACAGGUAGAGACUCCAUCUCAAAAUGAUGAUGAUAAGAAGAAGAAGAAGAAGAAGAAGAAGGCUGGGCACGGUGGCUCACGCCUGUAAUCCCAUCACUUUGGGAGGCUGAGGCAGGCAGAUCACGAGGUCAGGAGUUCGAGACCAGUCUGACCAACAUGGUGAAGCCCCAUCUCUACUAAAACUACAAAAAUUAGUCGGGCAUGGUGGUGUACGCCUGUAAUCCCAGCUACUCAGGAGGCUGAGGCAGGAGAAUUGCUUGACCCUGGGAGGCAGAGGUUGCAGUGAGCCGAGAUCGUGCCACUGCACUCCAGCCUGGGUGACAGAGCAAGACUCCAUCUCAGAUAAUAAUAAUAAUAAUAAUGGCUCAAGCUAAUAAAAGAAGGCCUGUCAAUGCACCUAUAUCACCUUCUCUGUUGCAUUAUUAAAAAAAAAAAGAUAUAGGAGGCUGGGGUGAGCUACUUUAGAUGGAGUGGUCAGGGAAAGGCCUUUUGAGGGGAGGACUCUGAGCUGCUGGCUGAAGGAUAAGACAGAACCACCACCCAAAGCAUCUAAGAAAGGCUGCCAGUCCAGACACAGGCGCCCUGAGUGGUACACAAUAGGUGUGCUCAUCCGAGAGCAAUGAGGCUAGUGCCGCUGAAUUCAGAGUGAUUGAGGAACUGCGGUAGGAAAUGAGGCAAAUAAUGUGGUAUUGUCGCAACCAUGGAAAUGCAGGCUGAUGACACAGAACACUACAGAUUUCAGAAACAGAUGCACUUGAUCUGUGCACAAAGUCACAUUGCUUUUUUGCAGUCGAGAACAGACAUUUUUGUGGAGCUGUAUUCGGUCCAGGACCCCGACCUUACACCGUACCCCAAAUACAUUUCUAGAUGGUUCACAUGUCUAAGUGUGAAAGAUAAAACUAUAAAUAUUCAAGAGCAAGGCAUUGGGAAACAUCUCUGGGAUAUCAGGAUUGGCAAGGAUUUCUUUUUUCUUUCCUUUUUUUUUUUUUGAGACAGAUUCUUGCUCUGUUGCCCAGAAUGGAGUGCAGUGGCGCGAUCUUGGCUCACUGCCAGCCUCCGCUUCCUGGGUUCAAGCGAUUCUCCUGCCUCAGCCUCCCGAGUAGCUGGGACUACAGGCGCCCACCAUGCCCACCUAAUUUUUAUAUUUUUAGUAGAGACGGGGUUUCACCAUGUUGGCCAGGCUGAUCUCAAACUCCUGACAUCAA